AUACGUAGGGUGCGGGCGUUGUCCGGAAUUACUGGGCGUAAAGAGCUCGUAGGUGGUUUGUCGCGUCGUCUGUGAAAUUCCGGGGCUUAACUCCGGGCGUGCAGGCGAUACGGGCAUAACUUGAGUACUGUAGGGGAGACUGGAAUUCCUGGUGUAGCGGUGAAAUGCGCAGAUAUCAGGAGGAACACCGGUGGCGAAGGCGGGUCUCUGGGCAGUAACUGACGCUGAGGAGCGAAAGCAUGGGUAGCGAACAGGAUUAGAUACCCUGGUAGUCCAUGCCGUAAACGGUGGGCGCUAGGUGUAGGGGUCUUCCACGACUUCUGUGCCGUAGCUAACGCAUUAAGCGCCCCGCCUGGGGAGUACGGCCGCAAGGCUAAAACUCAAAUGAAUUGACGGGG
rnacentral:rRNA from 1 species